UAUUUUUAAGAGGGGGGGCAUGGGGGAGGGGCAGAGAGAGAAGGAGACAAAGGGUCUGAAGCUGGCUCUGUGCUGAGAGCAGAGAGCCCGAUGCAGGGCUCAAACUCAUGAACCAUGAGAUCUUGACCUGAGCUGAAGUCAGACGCUUAACCGACUGAGCCACCCAGGUGCCCCAGAAUAUCCUGCUUUUUAAAGGCUGAAUAGUAUUUCAUUGUAUGUGUCUAUAUAUCCAUGUAUCUGUAUCUAUAUAAAUCACAUUUUCUUUAUCCGUUUACCCAUGGAGGGGCAUUCAGAUUGUUUUCCUCCCAUGGCUAUUGUCAAUAAUGCUGCAGUGAACAUGAGAGUGCAGAUAAUCUGUUCAAAAUAGUGGUUUCAUUUCCUUCGGAGAUAAUACCCAGAGGUGGGUGGGAUUGCUGGAUCAUAUCGUAGUUCUAUCUUUACUUUCUUGGGGAAUGUCCAAACUAUUUUCCAAGGCGACUACACCAAUUUACAUUCCCACCAGCAGUACACAAGGGCUCCCUUUUCUCUACAUCCUCAACAGCAUUUGUAAUCUGCUGUCUUUUUGAUAACAUUCUAACAGCGCGCCCCGAUAUCUUGUGGUUUUGAGUCAAA